rnacentral:lncRNA from 1 species
AUUUCUCCUAAUUAUGAGGUCAGAGUCCCAUAUUCAUAACAGGAUAUGAUCCAUUUUAAGGAGGAAACUGCUUCUCCAGAUACUUGAAGGUGUGAGGAUAUACACUGAAUACUUCCAGGGAGUAACCAUUGUCUGCCUAGAGUGUUCCUUACACAGGACCAAUGUCACUUUCACAAUGAAAGUUUAACCAAUUUUUUUCCUCAAGGAAUGGAGACAAGUUGAACUCUAUGUGUUCAUUGUGUGUUUCACUUCAAUAUGUACAAACUUAAAGGCAUAUAUUUUGCAAACAACAGCUAUGAAAAAAAAUGAAAUCUAUUCAAGAGUUAAAAUCCAGAGUUUUGCAAAUAGUACUGAAGUGCACCAUUCUCACCAGUCUUGCUGUUAAACUCAGAGGAUAAUCGACAGAUCCAAUAUAUAAGAACAAUGAUUGUGGCACAUCAUACAUGUAGAAAGACAGAAAUCAAAACAACCAAAAUCAGCUGGAGAUAUAAGAAGUAGAGAGUUUGCAAAAGUAAGAACUUCAGAUUAGAGUUGUU